AGUGAACGCUGGCGGUAGGCCUAACACAUGCAAGUCGAACGGCAGCACAGUAAGAGCUUGCUCUUACGGGUGGCGAGUGGCGGACGGGAGAGGAAUACAUCGGAAUCUACUUUUUCGUGGGGGUUAACGUAGGGAAACUUACGCCAAUACCGCAUACGCCCUACGGGUGAAAGCAGGGGAUCUUCGGACCUUGCGCGAUUGAAUGAGCCGAUGUCGGAUUAGCUAGUUGGCGGGGUAAAGGCCCACCAAGGCGACGAUCCGUAGCUGGUCUGAGAGGAUGAUCAGCCACACUAGAACUGAGACACGGUCCAGACUCCUACGGGAGGCAGCAGUGUGGAAUAUUGGACAAUGGGCGCAAGCCUGAUCCAGCCAUACCGCGUGGGUGAAGAAGGCCUUCGGGUUGUAAAGCCCUUUUGUUGGGAAAGAAAAGCAGCAGGUUAAUACCCCGCUGUUCUGACGGUACCCAAAGAAUAAGCACCGGCUAACUUCGUG
rnacentral:rRNA from 1 species